UCACGAGCUACAUCCUGCAGUCUUGCAGUGG
rnacentral:sRNA from 1 species